rnacentral:rRNA from 1 species
GCUUAGAGAGGGGUCAAUGUCCUAUCAGCUAGUUGGUAGGGUAAUGGCCUACCAAGGCUAAGACGGGUAGCCGGCCUGAGAGGGUGGUCGGCCACACUGGGACUGAGACACUGCCCAGACUCCUACGGGAGGCUGCAGUCGAGAAUCUUUCGCAAUGCCCGAAAGGGUGACGAAGCGACGCCGCGUGUGGGAAGAAGGCCUUCGGGUUGUAAACCACUGUCGGGAGUUAAGAAAUGCAAGGGUGUUAAUAGCAUCCUUGCUUGACUAAGGCUCCGGAGGAAGCCACGGCUAACUCUGUGCCAGCAGCCGCGGUAAUACAGAGGCGGCAAGCGUUGUUCGGAAUUAUUGGGCGUAAAGAGCACGUAGGCGGCUUUGUAAGUCAGUUGUGAAAGCCUUCUGCUCAACGGAAGAACAGCGUCUGAUACUGCAAGGCUAGAGUGCGGAAGGG